CAGCUCGUGUCGUGAGAUGUUGGGUUAAGUCCCGCAACGAGCGCAACCCUUAUCUUCAGUUGCUACCAUUCAGUUGAGCACUCUGACGAAACCGCCUCGGAUAACGGGGAGGAAGGUGGGGAUGACGUCAAGUCCUCAUGGCCUUUAUGUCCAGGGCUACACACGUGCUACAAUGGCCGGUACAAACCGUCGCAAACCCGCGAGGGGGAGCUAAUCGGAAAAAGCCGGCCUCAGUUCGGAUUGCAGUCUGCAACUCGACUGCAUGAAGCUGGAAUCGCUAGUAAUCGCGGAUCAGAAUGCCGCGGUGAAUACGUUCCCGGGCCUUGUACACACCGCCCGU
rnacentral:rRNA from 1 species